UCUUUUACAUUAUGUUGUUUUAACUUAUUGAAAAAUUUUGGCGUAAAUUCUAAAUCUGGUCCAUCAUCAAAUGUUAGAGCUACUUCCGCUUUAUUGUACGGUCCGGAAAAUGCGUACGCAUAUUUUUCGACCCAUGAAAAUGGUGUCCACGAUCCACGAUCAUCUGCUUUCAUUUGUACUUCAUAGUUUUGAGGGGUAUAUACGUAUGGCAAUGAACUUAUAUAGUCUCCAUAAUAAAAUGAGUCAUAUGGMAUAUAGGCGUAUGAAACAUCUCGUUCUAGUCCCCAAUUCAUGGGUGUCAUCGUUA
rnacentral:rRNA from 1 species